rnacentral:rRNA from 1 species
CCAAUAGCGUAUAUUAAAGUUGUUGCAGUUAAAAAGCUCGUAGUUGAAUUUCAGGCCUGGCUGGACGGUCCGCCCUUCGGGUGAGUACUGUCUGUGGUCGGGUCCUACCUUCUGGCGAAGCGUCAUGGCCUUAACCGGCCGUGGCGGGGAACCAGGACUUUUACUGUGAAAAAAUUAGAGUGUUCAAAGCAGGCAAUCGCUUGGAUACAUUAGCAUGGAAUAAUGGAAUAGGACAAUGGUUCUAUUUGUUGGUUUCUAGGACCGUUGUAAUGAUUAAUAGGGAUAGUUGGGGGCAUUAGUAUUCAAUUGUCAGAGGUGAAAUUCUUGGAUUUAUUGAAGACUAACUACUGCGAAAGCAUUUGCCAAGGAUGUUUUCAUUAAUCAAGAACGAAAGUUAGGGGAUCGAAGACGAUCAGAUACCGUCGUAGUCUUAACCAUAAACUAUGCCGACUAGGAAUCGGGCGAUGUUGACAAAAUGACGCGCUCGGCGCCUCAUG